AGAAAUCGAAGAGGUUUGCUUUCUCAAAAGCUGGGCUGCUCAGAGACCACGAGGGCCGAUCUCAGAAAUCGAAGAGGUUUGCUUUCUCAAAAGCUGGGCUGCUCAGAGACCACGAGCGCCGAUCUCAGAAAUCGAAGAGGCACCUACUUUUCCAGCCUUGUCAGCACCUGUCACACGCACUCAGCUUUGCGGAAAUUAUGGGCAUUCUGUCGAAGAUUUCUGGCGAAGUAGAAAGCACAUGAAUCGUACUGUUCAAUCACCCACUUCCCACACGCAACAGUAGCUCAUGGGUACCACAUAUAACUUUGCCA
rnacentral:lncRNA from 1 species